AUAAGAACGAACUGAAAAAACUCACAUAUUGUUAUUUAUGUUUCAGUUAAUUGUUUCUAAACUGUUCCAUAUCGACAUAACUGAUCCGGGUUAUGAAAUUAAAAUAAGCACACUUUAAGUGAUAAUGAUAAAGAAACUGAGAAUAAAUGUUUAAGACUAGCUUUAAAUUUGUUCUUUCAUCUUAAAAUAUAAAAAAUAACUUACUUCAAUUUCAUUGUAUUUAAUGUUUGCUAACACAAUCUUGUUAUUUCCCAGGAUAAUAAAAAUUUGAAAAUGUAUUUCCUGGAAUCCCGCUCAAAGAAAAUAUUCUGGUUUCUAAGUGGAAUUAUAAAUGUUCAAAAUUACGUGGUUCGAUAUCAUAGUGAUAAGCUUGUAACUGCAAAAAUAAAGAGUUAUGUGAUAAUUACAUUCCAUCUAACAGUAUUUUUAUCGGGCCAUCUACAACUUCCUCUCAGAAAAUAUUUUAUCCAAGGAAAUUGCCAAAAGGAGGAAAAUAAUUAAAAAAGUAAGUCUAAUAAGACGAAUUAAUAAUUUAUUUUUUUUAAAUAUGGAGACUCAUUUAUGAAGAAAAUACAU
rnacentral:lncRNA from 1 species